UAUAUAAUACGAUUAAGGAUUCCUGGCUUCUCCUUAAUCCGGGAUCCUAUGUGGCAUGUCUAAGAAUUCAAGAAUUAAAAUCCUUGCAAUUCUAGAGCUUCUAGCUCAAUUCUGUAUCGCUGACAUGGCAAUAUGUAUCCACAUCACUUAUUUUAUUUAUUUUAUUCUCAAUUUUAAAACACAACUCACGCCCCUCUUUUGCUCAAAGAAAAAGAAACUCACGCCUCUCUUCCUCACGCCUCUCUUCCUCACCCCAUCGAAGCCGCCCCUGAAACUCCAGGGAAAGUGUCGCCGGCGAGCCACGGCCAUGGCCACAGAUUCUCUCUCGACCCCCAUCUCCAUCUCUCAGUCCCUAAUCUCUCUCCUCUCUCCCUAACAAAGCCUAGAUCUCCAAAUCCUCACUGCCUCUUCGCGAUUUCCGGCGACCACGACAGCCAUGGCUGUCGCCUCCGGCGAUUCGCCCCAAGCUCAGCCCCGAUCUGCCACCUCGCCGCUCCCCUUUCCCCUUCACCGCCGUCCGCCCCGUCACCAAGUCUUUGCCAGAGAUCUGCUCGGUAACGAAAUCUGCUCCGAUCACUGCUGCACAAACGUCUCGGUGAUAACAUCGCCACUCCCGUUUCCCCUCCACCGCCAUCCGCCACCGUCGUCUCCGUCUGCCCUGUCACCAAGUCGCCGCCAGCGAUCUGCGCCUCUCCAUGGCUGAACUCAUUAAGGAAUGGUGAAGGGGUUAGGCUAAAUCUUACCUUUCGAGCAGCUGAAACCAUGGUAUGGCUUUGGCUGAAAAUGGUGAUCAACUAGGUGAUUGAUAGUAUUCUGUACAUAGCUGAUAGAGUAGGUGAUUGAUAGUAAGCGUAGGGAAAGUUGUGAGGUGACUAAUGGUGAAUAAAAUCCUUCCGUUGCUACCUGGUACUGGAUUUCUAAGAUAAUUUCUGGUCUUUCUGAUAUUUUUUGCUCUUUUCUGGGAAUUAAAUCUAUAAUUACAACUUGUGCUACAAGUUGUAAUUAAAUAAUGACUUUUAAAAUAAAAGAAGAAAAGAACUUGCUGAAUGUUCUAUCUGAUAUUAUUCAUGGUGUGUUAUUAGUCAAAUUGAGUUAGCAUGUAAAUCCAGUGUCUAAUGUUUGCUUUUCCACAAUCUACUAAUUAAAUUUUGCAGGCCAACAUCAUUCCCAUUAGUUAAUGGCAUUCAUGGUGAUUCUUCUAAGAUAAAAGGUUGGUAUAGAAACUGUAUUAUUAAUAUAUCUUACCAUCUGCACUUCUUCUAACUAUACUUAUGGGGUGUCUACAGUUCAGUAUCGGUAUCCGCUCCUUUUCGUCUGCUGGAAAUUGAGUAGAAAUGCAAUUACAUUGAUAAUCAACGGAAGUCGGCUUACUACUUAAUUGCAGCCUUCGUUGGCGAGAAAUUGUUUCCUCUCGCCUUUUAUUACCCGCAGAAGCUUCUCCAGCUGCAACUCAACCUUCUUUGGGGCCUCGAUCGCGUCCGCAAAGCUUGCCAUCUCUUCGGUGUGUGCAUUGUCCUCUUGGUUGGUUGUUGUUUUUGCUAAUGUACUGUGGCUCGAGUUUUAUAUGUUGUUUGUGCUUUGUUAUUAGCUGCAAACUUUUGAUUUUUUGUUGUUUUUUUAGUUUUCCCGAUGUAACCAGUCGUUAGUUGCGUAUUUUAAUUCAUUUUAAUGUGUGUUGUGGUGUUA